rnacentral:rRNA from 1 species
AUUGAACGCCGGCGGCAUGCCUUACACAUGCAAGUCGAACGGUAACAGGUUAAGCUGACGAGUGGCGAACGGGUGAGUAAUACAUCGGAACGUGCCCAGACGUGGGGGAUAACGUAGCGAAAGCUACGCUAAUACCGCAUACGAACUGAGGUUGAAAGCGGGGGACCGUAAGGCCUCGCGCGUUUGGAGCGGCCGAUGGCAGAUUAGGUAGUUGGUGGGGUAAAGGCUUACCAAGCCUGCGAUCUGUAGCUGGUCUGAGAGGACGACCAGCCACACUGGGACUGAGACACGGCCCAGACUCCUACGGGAGGCAGCAGUGGGGAAUUUUGGACAAUGGGCGCAAGCCUGAUUCAGCAAUGCCGCGUGCAGGAUGAAGGCCUUCGGGUUGUAAACUGCUUUUGUACGGAGCGAAACGGCUUCCACUAAUACUGGGGGCUAAUGACGGUACCGUAAGAAUAAGCACCGGCUAACUACGUGCCAGCCGCCGCCGUAACAC